rfam:Schizosaccharomyces pombe chromosome II, complete replicon
AAGCUAUGAUGACCAAAAUUGGUCCGUGUUACUGAGCGGGAUUAAGACCCCAGCAAACGAAGAGAAACCCAAUUUUUAAUUCUGAUUUU